CCAGACUCCUACGGGAGGCAGCAGUGGGGAAUAUUGCACAAUGGGGGAAACCCUGAUGCAGCGACGCCGCGUGAGUGAAGAAGUAAUUCGGUAUGUAAAGCUCUAUCAGCAGGGAAGAAAGAAAUGACGGUACCUGACUAAGAAGCCCCGGCUAACUACGUGCCAGCAGCCGCGGUAAUACGUAGGGGGCAAGCGUUAUCCGGAUUUACUGGGUGUAAAGGGAGCGUAGACGGCAAUGCAAGUCUGGAGUGAAAGCCCGGGGCCCAACCCCGGGACUGCUCUUGGAACUGCGUGGCUAGAGUGCAGGAGGGGCAGGCGGAAUUCCUGGUGUAGCGGUGAAAUGCGUAGAUAUUAGGAGGAACACCAGUGGCGAAGGCGGCUUACUGGACUGUAACUGACGUUGAGGCUCGAAAGCGUGGGGAGCAAACAGGAUUAGAUACCCGUGUA
rnacentral:rRNA from 1 species